UCAUAUCAGAAGGUUUUCCAAGCUCAAAACCAAUCGGAUGAACAUUGAAAUGAAAGGUGAAGGCUGUCACAAUCACUGGCACAGCAGUGAAAAGGUCGAAGAAGGAAACUUGAUUGUCUAGGUGGGGCAACAAUCUUGGACUAUUGGUUUUCCCUUCAAUGAGUGCAGAGAUUGCCAAAACUGAGCUAAUCCCAACAAACACUACUGCCAGGAGAACUGAUAUAGCUGAGCUGAACCUCAGUGAUUCUACACGCCUGAAGGAGACCAGAGGAAGCAUAACAAAAACAACAAUGAAGAAGAGUGCAAAAGCGCGUGAAUUCCACCAGUGAAUGCCAAACCAUUCU
rnacentral:misc_RNA from 1 species